AAAAAGUCCUUGCUCCAGAGAGCUCACAAUCUAGAAUUUUGAAAACACACAACAGGUGAACAAACAGAUGGAGGAUAGAGGAUAGACUGUGAGAACUCUGUGCAGAUGAAGAUCUCAAUGUGUUAAUCAGAUGGAAAAGCAUGGAUCCUGAGCUACUGACCAUGGUGGUGAUCAACCUCAUGAACACAACAAGGCUGGUCCUGCAGUAUUUCAUGAGCUCCAAAACAGAGAGUGAAUCAGUGAUGGCUGCCCUGCUAUCUGCCAUGAAAACAAAUAAUUCAAGAUUGCUGCCUACCUUCACGGAACAGCUUGCCAUGGUGAACCAUUGGUACUGAGCUUGGGAAAGAAGCACUGAGUGGUGGGGUUGGAUCAUGAUUCAGGUAUGGGAUGAUGAGCAGUGGCUGCAGAACUUUCGGACGUGCAAAGCCACCUUCCUGGAACUGUGUGCAGAGCUCUCCCCAGCACUGUGGCCAAGGACACCAGAAUGAGAGCUGCCCUCACUGUGGAAAAGCGAGAGGCGAUCGCUGUGUGGAACCUGGCAACUCCUGACUGCUACCAGUCAGUCGCAAAUCAGUUUGGAGUUGGAAAGUCCACCAUGGGGGUUGCAGUGAUGCAAAUGUGCAGGGCCAUUAAUCGCCUUCUGCUACGAAGGACUUGACUCUAGUAACGCGCAGGAAAUAAUUUAUAACUUUGAGGCAAUGGGAUUCCCUAACAGCAGCCGGGCGAUGGAGGGAACGCAUAUCUCUAUUUUGGCCCCCGACCACCUUAUGAUGGAGUACAUCAGUCGAAAGGGCUACUUCUCCAUGGUCUUGCAAGCUCUAGUCGAUCACCAGGCAUGUUUCGCUAACAUCUAUGCAGGGUGGUCAGGGAAGGUGCGUGACGCACACAUAUUUUGGAACACUGGACUGUAUAGAAAGCUGCACACUGGGACUUUCUUUCCAGACCAGAAGAUUCCAGGGGAGAUAUGCAAGUGCCCAUAGUGAUCCUUGGAGACC